rnacentral:rRNA from 1 species
GUGCCAGCAGCCGCGGUAAUACAGAGGGUGCGAGCGUUGUCCGGAAUCACUGGGCGUAAAGGGCGCGUAGGUGGCUUGGUAAGCGUGUGGUGAAAGCCUGGGGCUCAACCCCAGGUCUGCCGUGCGAACUGCCAAGCUUGAGCAUAGUAGAGGCAGGUGGAAUUUCGGGUGUAGCGGUGGAAUGCGUAGAUAUCCGAAAGAACACCGGUGGCGAAGGCGGCCUGCUGGGCUAUUGCUGACACUGAGGCGCGACAGCGUGGGGAGCAAACAGGAUUAGAUACCCCGGUAGUCC